UGGGGAAUUUUGGACAAUGGGGGAAACCCUGAUCCAGCCAUCCCGCGUGUGCGAUGAAGGCCUUCGUGUUGUAAAGCACUUUUGGCAGGAAAGAAACGUCAUGGGUUAAUACCCCGUGAAACUGACGGUACCUGCAGAAUAAGCACCGGCUAACUACGUGCCAGCAGCCGCGGUAAUACGUAGGGUGCAAGCGUUAAUCGGAAUUACUGGGCGUAAAGCGUGCGCAGGCGGUUCGGAAAGAAAGAUGUGAAAUCCCAGAGCUCAACUUUGGAACUGCAUUUUUAACUGCCGGGCUAGAGUGUGUCAGAGGGAGGUGGAAUUCCGCGUGUAGCAGUGAAAUGCGUAGAUAUGCGGAGGAACACCGAUGGCGAAGGCAGCCUCCUGGGAUAACACUGACGCUCAUGCACGAAAGCGUGGGGAGCAAACAGG
rnacentral:rRNA from 1 species